AGCAGCCGCGGUAAUUCCAGCUCCAAUAGCGUAUAUUAAAGUUGUUGCAGUUAAAAAGCUCGUAGUUGAAUUUCGGGAUCAGUUGAUCGGUCGUGCCUCGGUACGUACUGGUCAAAUUGAUUCCUACCUUCUGACGAACCACGAUGCCAUUAAUUUGGUGUCGUGGGAAAUCAGGACUGUUACUUUGAAAAAAUUAGAGUGUUUAAAGCAGGCUCGCGCUUGAAUACAUUAGCAUGGAAUAAUGAAAUAGGACGUUUGAUUCUAUUUUGUUGGUUUCUAGGAUCGACGUAAUGAUUAAUAGGGAUAGUUGGGGGCAUUAGUAUUCAAUUGUCAGAGGUGAAAUUCUUGGAUUUAUUGAAGACUAACUACUGCGAAAGCAUUUGCCAAGGAUGUUUUCAUUAAUCAAGAACGAAAGUUAGGGGGAUCGAAGACGAUCAGAUACCGUCGUAGUCUUAACCAUAAACUAUGC
rnacentral:rRNA from 1 species